rnacentral:precursor_RNA from 14 species
CAAUAGUCAUGUGUUCUCUGGGCUGUGUCCACAGGCCGGCAGGUUUGAGCAUUUUGAUUGAAUUGUCAAACCAGGCGUGCCUGUGGACACAGCACUCACGGGCUCCUCCAGUGGCG